rfam:Aedes aegypti strain Liverpool supercont1.304 genomic scaffold, whole genome shotgun sequence.
ACAACGGCCCUUUUCAGGGCCACAUUUGAUUACAAUUUAUUAAGCU